UACGAAGGGGCUAGGCGUUGCUCGGAAUCACUGGGCGUAAAGCGCACGUAGGCGGCUUUCUAAGUCAGGGGUGAAAUCCUGGAGGCUCAACUCCCAGAACUGCCUUUGAUACUGAAGAUCUUGAGUUCGGGAGAGGUGAGUGGAACUGCGAGUGUAGAGGUGAAAUUCGUAGAUAUUCGCAAGAACACCAGUGGCGAAGGCGGCUCACUGGCCCGGUACGUGACGCUGAGGUGCGAAAGCGUGGGGAGCAAACAGG
rnacentral:rRNA from 1 species